ACGGGUGAGGAACACGUGAGGAACCUGGCUCUGGGUGGGGGAUAACUUGCAGAAAUGCGAGCUAAUCCCGCAUACGGCUCAUAUCGGAGGGGGUACGAGAGAAAGCAGUAAUGCGCCGAGAGAGGGGCUUGCGGCCGAUUAGCUAGUUGGUGUGGUAAGAGCGCACCAAGGCGACGAUCGGUAGCUGGUCUGAGAGGACGAGCAGCCACACUGGGAUUGAGAACGGCCCAGACUCCUACGGGGGGCAGCAGUGAGGAAUCUUCGGCAAUGGGGGCAACCCUGACCGAGCGACGCCGCGUGCGGGAAGACGGCCUUCGGGUUGUAAACCGCUUUUCUGGGGACGAGAGAACGGACGGUACCCCAGGAAGAAGCCUCGGCUAACUACGUGCCAGCAGCCGCGGUAAUACGUAGGAGGCGAGCGUUGUCCGGAGUUACUGGGCGUAAAGGGUGCGCAGGCGGCGUUCCGCGUGGCGAGAUGAAAUCUCCUGGCUUACCUGGGAGGGUGGUCGCCAGACGGGAGCGCUUGAGGGUCGGAGAGGGGCGUGGAAUUCCGGGUGGAGCGGUGAAAUGCGUAGAGAUCCGGAGGAACACCGACGGCGUANGCAGCGCCCUGGACGACACCUGACGCUGANGCACGAAAGCUGGGGGAGCGAACAGGAUUAGAUACCCUGGUAGUCCCAGCCCUAAACGAUGUCCACCAGGUACCGGGGGGGAUCGACCCCUUCNGCGCCGCANCUAACGUGAUGAGUGGACCGCCUGGGGAGUACGGCCGCAAGGUUGAAACUCAAAGGAAUUGACGGGGGCCCGCACAAGCAGCGGA
rnacentral:rRNA from 1 species